GAUGAACGCUGGCGGCGUGCUUAACACAUGCGAGUCGAACGAUGAAGCCCAGCUUGCUGGGUGGAUUAGUGGCGAACGGGUGAGUAACACGUGAGUAACCUGCCCUUAACUCUGGGAUAAGCCUGGUAAACUGGGUCUAAUACCGGAUAGGAGCGUCCACCGCAUGGUGGGUGUUGGAAAGAUUUAUCGGUUUUGGAUGGACUCGCGGCCUAUCAGCUUGUUGGUGAGGUAAUGGCUCACCAAGGCGACGACGGGUAGCCGGCCUGAGAGGGUGACCGGCCACACUGGGACUGAGACACGGCCCAGACUCCUACGGGAGGCAGCAGUGGGGAAUAUUGCACAAUGGGCGCAAGCCUGAUGCAGCGACGCCGCGUGAGGGAUGACGGCCUUCGGGUUGUAAACCUCUUUCAGUAGGGAAGAAGCGAAAGUGACGGUACCUGCAGAAGAAGCACCGGCUAACUACGUG
rnacentral:rRNA from 1 species